CUCAUCAGAUGAUCUUAUCCGAUGAUUAGAUAGUCCCAGGAAUUUGAAUGCAAGUAUGAGUGAUGAUUGUAUGGAGGUGUGCAUGUGAUAGAGAAAGUGGUGUUGGUUAGAAAGUAAUAGUAAAAUUCUAAGUGUCCAGGAAGUGUUUCUUGAGUUGUGUCCAAGAGAGUUUGAGAGUUGAGUGUAAGUCCCAGAGUGUCCUGAAUCUCUC